AGCAGCCGCGGUAAUUCCAGCUCCAAUAGCGUAUAUUAAAGUUGUUGCAGUUAAAAAGCUCGUAGUUGAAUUUCGGGAUUAGUACGUUGGUCGUGCCUUCGGUACGUACUGGUGUUACUGNUUCCUACCUUCUGACGAACCAUCAUGUCAUUAAUUUGGUGUGGCGGGGAAUCAGGACUGUUACUUUGAAAAAAUUAGAGUGUUUAAAGCAGGCUCGCGCUUGAAUACAUUAGCAUGGAAUAAUGAAAUAGGACGUUGACCCUAUUUUGUUGGUUUCUAGGAUUGACGUAAUGAUUAAUAGGGAUAGUUGGGGGCAUUAGUAUUCAAUUGUCAGAGGUGAAAUUCUUGGAUUUAUUGAAGACUAACUACUGCGAAAGCAUUUGCCAAGGAUGUUUUCAUUAAUCAAGAACGAAAGUUAGGGGAUCGAAGACGAUCAGAUACCGUCGUAGUCUUAACC
rnacentral:rRNA from 1 species